CAUAAACACUUAAAGAUAGCUGUUGCAUGGAAUGUGCCCUUUUUUUAUAGCUUUAUAUUGAAUACACUUAAAUUUGAUUAAAGAAUAAAAUAUAAUUGAGAGAAUAUCUCAUUUUUCCCACUUAAAAUGUGAGUUGUACAUUCACAUUUCAGGUUGCCACCUUAUUGAGCAAAUAGAAAGAGAAUUAGUGCUAAACAGUAACCAGUUGUGUUUCUUAGGACCAAAUACUAUUUUACUAAGAAAAAAAUCUAUGAAGAUCAAAUCAUGGCCUUUCUGGUAAAUUCAGGGCUUUUUAUACCUGAUUUCUUUAACAUGACAGUUUGGUUCCUGAGGAUUUAUCCUACCUAUGUUUAAUAGGGAAUAAAUGAUCAGAGCAAGCCAGGAAAAAAAAAAUACUUGGAAUGUAAAACAAAAUGUAACAUAAAGAUGAGAAAGAAAAUGUUAUCUUUCUUUUCUUUGAGUUAUGUCUGGAAAGGAACCAAAAGUUGUGUCUCACAUGGGACUUUAAGUCAUGAAAACUUAAGCUUAAAAGUAUCAAGUAGUGAGGCUUAAAAA
rnacentral:lncRNA from 1 species